ACAGUUCUACAAUACAAGACACCCAAUAUGGAGUUUGCAGACAACGGAGAGAACAAUAUACACCUGUAAAGUAGAUGUGCCAGUGAGAAUAAUGAGAUCUUCCGUUCUUUUUCACAGACUUUAUUACUGGCAUAUUGCUACAGUCAACAACAGCAUGGAAGGAUGGUUCCAGGUGUCGGAAGAUGCAGGAAGGAAGAGUGUGCCCUUCAAUGCCAUGAUGGUCCGCGUUUCAAAGAUCAUUUUCACUGAGACCGAUCGACUCCUGUAUGAAAGCAAUGACGGCAAAUGUGGAGUGUUCUUGGUAUCUUCCAUA
rnacentral:lncRNA from 1 species